rnacentral:rRNA from 1 species
GACGAACGCUGGCGGCGUGCCUAAUACAUGCAAGUAGAACGCUGAAGGAGGAGCUUGCUUCUCUGGAUGAGUUGCGAACGGGUGAGUAACGCGUAGGCAACCUGCCUGGUAGCGGGGGAUAACUAUUGGAAACGAUAGCUAAUACCGCAUAAGAGUAGAUGUUGCAUGACAUUUGCUUAAAAGGUGCAAUUGCAUCACUACCAGAUGGACCUGCGUUGUAUUAGCUAGUUGGUGGGGUAACGGCUCACCAAGGCGACGAUACAUAGCCGACCUGAGAGGGUGAUCGGCCACACUGGGACUGAGACACGGCCCAGACUCCUACGGGAGGCAGCAGUAGGGAAUCUUCGGCAAUGGACGGAAGUCUGACCGAGCAACGCCGCGUGAGUGAAGAAGGUUUUCGGAUCGUAAAGCUCUGUUGUAAGAGAAGAACGAGUGUGAGAGUGGAAAGUUCACACUGUGACGGUAUCUUACCAGAAAGGGACGGCUAACUACGUG